UCCCUCGUACAAUGUGAUCUAACAUAAAGCAAGGUGGUUCAACAAGUCUAAAAACAAACAUUCAAAUGAGAUAGCUAAACAAAACAAUACCGCUAACUUACAUUUGAGUUACAAAGGCGUUGGCUGCUGCGAUACAAGCAUAGCUAGACAUCCCAACCUCCCCUCCUGGACCCCCUGCAGUUUGCCUAAAGAGCCAACAGGUCUGUAGAAGAUGCAGUCAACUUGGCCCUCCACUACAUCCUCCACUACCUGGACUCCGCAGGAACCUACGCCAGGAUCCUGUCGUGGAUUUCAUCCCUGCCUUUAACACCAUCAUCCCGCUGCUGCUUCAGGAGAAGCUCUCCCAGCCAGGUGUGCGGGACUCCAAUGAACAAUUCAUGAAUGAAGCUCUGAGUCUGGACAUCGUUGACGGUAAUCAACUGCUCGUCACAGCAGGGCCUUGAGCAGAGUGUGACUCGUGGAUAGAUAUUGACAGUUCAACUUAUGAAUUUAUCCGAGCACUGUUUCUCAAAAGUGACUUCAGUCUGCCGUAGACAGUAUUUUGUUUUGGAAAUAUUUAGACAGGUCUAUUUGCAGUCGAUUUGGAUUGCUAAAAAAAUGUGUUUGGGCAAAUCUGCUUACAAUUUAUAUCCUGAAGCACUGGCAUACCACAGAAAUACCAGCGUAGAAAAGAUUUUUUGUUUUUUUGCAUCUUUUCAGGCAAACAUUGUGUAAGGUGAUUAAACAAUAGAAAAAGAUCCACAAAAUGUUGAAAUGUCACAUUGAAGUGGUAAAAUAGUAGCCUAAGUAUUAUGGUAAUUAUGUAGGAACUCUGAAAGCUGUUUUGCUCUUUAUAUUUUCAUUAUCUCAGUUAAAAAAUCUGGCAAGAGGUGCAGGACUAUUUCUCAAAGUAAUAAUUUGGCAAAAGCUAAUUCACUUCCAAUCUCACUUAAAUAAGAUCAAUAUGUAGCUGGAGUCAUCAGCCAGGCAGCUUAGCUUAGCUUAGCUUAGCUUAGCCUAGCUUAGCCAAAGACUUAAAAGAGGGGGAAACAGCUCAAAUGGCUCAGUUCAAAGGUAAACAAAGCUCUCAGUUGCUAGGCAAGUUGCUAGGCAACCAGUGGAGAUAGUGAAAGUAGCUGCUCCAAGAAAUAGUUGGUCACAUAAAACCCGGAAAAACAACAAAAUGUAUUUAAUUUUUUUUUUUACACAAGAUAAAACGUGUUAAUUACAGAGUUUUAGAGGUGCAGCUAUGUUUUGUUAUCUUUGAGCCAGGCUAGCUGUUUACACCUGUUUCUAGUCUGUAUGCUAAGCUAAGCUAACCAGCUGCUGGCUCCUGCUACAUAAUUAGGCCUACAGUAGAGAUGUAAGGGGCAUGGAUCUUCUCAUGUCAUUCUCAACAAGAAGGACGGAAAAGGACAUUUCCCAAAAAUGUCAAACUGCUUUAAGGAAUCACAGAGUCAUCUUGACAAAACGUUGGAGCUUAAAAGAGGCACAACUACAGAGUCAGACACAAACCAUAUUAUCUCAUCUCAAGUUCUUUAAGAAGUGAAAGUUAGAAUGUUAGAAAACUGCUGCAGACCCUUAAUCCUAUCCUUUUUCUUUCAAGAGGUCUUUCACAAUAUCUUUGAUUUCACCAGGCUGAGCUUGUUACAAAAGAGGAAAAUGUCCUGGGAUGUUAAAAUGGUAAAUUAAAACACGUAAAUGCCAAAAAAUACAAAGCUAUUCGGAGUGAUCACCCUCAUCACGUUAUGGUGAAGAGUUUCUAUCCUGAUGGAGGUGGAAUGUUUUCAGGAGGGUAUUGUCUCUUCAGGCAGUGAGUGGUUAGUGAGAGGGAGGAUGAAAAUGAAAACAAUGUGUACCAGGUCAGAGAAAUUUAAAUCAUCGGGCUGUUGGUGUACUAUAUGAACAACAAACCAAAACAAAAUGUUCCAGUUGUUUGAUGGAAGUAUGAUUCGAUUUUUGUAAAUCUUUGGUAAAUUACCUUGUGCAGAUGGCAGUCUAGAGCAGGGAUCUUCAACAGGGUCAGAGUGAAGGCAGGGGGGCCUCCAAAUUAUUGUUAAUUUUUGAAAGUUUUAAGGACGCGUUCCUAUGUCCCAGUGUAUUGUUUGAUAAUUGUUUGAAUAAAAUAAAAAUAUUUGUUCACAAACAAAAAUAGUUUUGCAGGUAUUUAGUCAAUAAUCAAAGUAUUGGACACAUUUAAACCUUGACCCGAUGAUGGC